GACGAGGGAUCCUAGCGUUGUUCGGAAUCAUUGGGCGUAAAGCGGGUGUAGGUGGCUUGGUAAGUCAGGUGUGAAAGCCCAGGGCUUAACCCUGGAAGUGCAUUUGAAACUGCCGAGCUUGAGUGUGGGAGAGGAUAGUGGAAUUCCUGGUGUAGCGGUGGAAUGCGCAGAUAUCAGGAGGAACACCAAUAGCGAAGGCAGCUCGCUGGGACGUUACUGACACUGAGGCGCGAAAGCGUGGGGAGCGAACAGG
rnacentral:rRNA from 1 species